CCUACGGGCGGCUGCAGUGAGGAAUAUUGGUCAAUGGACGAGAGUCUGAACCAGCCAAGUAGCGUGAAGGAUGACUGCCCUAUGGGUUUUAAACUUCUUUUAUAUGGGAAUAAAACAGGGUAUGCAUACCCUCUUGUAUGUACCAUAUGAAUAAGGAUCGGCUAACUCCGUGCCAGCAGCCGCGGUAAUACGGAGGAUCCGAGCGUUAUACGGAUUUAUUGGGUUUAACGGGAGCGUAGGUGGAUUGUUAAGUCAGUUGUGAAAGUUUGCGGCUCAACCGUAAAAUUGCAGUUGAAACUGGCAGUCUUGAGUACAGUAGAGGUGGGCGGAAUUCGUGGUGUAGCGGUGAAAGGCUUAGAUAUCACGAAGAACUCCGAUUGCGAAGGCAGCUCACUGGACUGCAACUGACACUGAUGCUCGAAAGUGUGGGUAUCAAACAGGAUUAGAUACCCCAGUAGUC
rnacentral:rRNA from 1 species